rnacentral:rRNA from 1 species
CGUGAGCGGCGGACGGGUGAGUAACGCGUGGGUAACCUACCUCAUACAGGGGGAUAACAGUUGGAAACGGCUGCUAAUACCGCAUAAGCGCACGAGUACCGCAUGGUACCGUGUGGAAAACUCCGGUGGUAUGAGAUGGACCCGCGUCUGAUUAGCUAGUUGGUGGGGUAACGGCCUACCAAGGCGACGAUCAGUAGCCGACCUGAGAGGGUGACCGGCCACAUUGGGACUGAGACACGGCCCAA